rnacentral:lncRNA from 1 species
UUAUAGCGAUCAGCUGGGAGCAGUUGGGGCCGAGCCCUUCAUGUCUCGGGCUGUCCACACUCCAAGCGCGGUGCGGGCGCCCAGGCCUCCAUCUUGCAUCUCACUGUGAGCCCGGCGCUUGCGCACACAGCUUGCCUGCUAUGCUGAGGGGUGGGUGCAGCCGCUUGCCACGAGGAGGAGCUCUGGUCUGAAGCCCCUGGUGCGAGGUCUCUGCUCAGACCACCCUGUGAGCAAGUGAAACUCAACCAAGCACGAAGGAAAGAAAGGACAAGGGGACGGACACUAAGAAGGGGAUGUAUUGUCUGCGUGUGUUGCCUUCACACCUUUGAAUUCUAAAGGGAUGGCAGGGGCAGCUAACAGAGAGCAGAGAGGAGGCAUCCGGAAUCCCAUGUGGCACAUUUAUGUCAACUGCAUGUCAAUCAGAUGCAAGUGAAGACUAAGCAGUUCCAGCACGGGAACCUCUGAAAAUCAAGACCACAUCAUCCUGAUGUUUUGGCAUUUUGCCCACUGCCUCAGCAUGUGCUUUUAAAGAGAGCUCUCUAUUGCCGUCUCAUGGUGAAUGAGUGAAUGGCUGGGAUUAGGAGACAAAACUGGCUACCACCACUAAGCAGGUUUGAGGCUCACCAUAUGAAGGAAUGUUUUCCUGGAAAGCUCUUCUUCUCCAGUCUGGCAUUCAUCCUUCUGAAACAUUUACCCUUCUGUCAGCUGGUCCUCUGGCCUAUUAAAACCAGAUCCCAGCUGGGAUGCCUUACACUGGUGACUUGGAGAACAAGAAAACAGUGCUACUUCUUCCUUCAUAACAAUAUAACUGAUGGGCUCAACAUUGUAAUCAGGUCAGUAAACUGCAUGUUUUACUGAUACUACUCGUCAAAUAGUUACACACUAGGUAAGGGGGAGUGAGGAAAUCCUUUUUUACUAACUAAAAAUGCUAUUUGACAAUACAGAGAAAAAAACCAUUAUAAUAAUCUGGUUUUCAUUGGCCUCGAUGGCGUACAGUUUAAUAUGUAUGUCUUUUGCAUUAAUAGGCAAAGAUAUUUACCUGUUGGGCAAACAAGGAAGCCUGCAUUCUCUGAAGAAAGGAUUAGAGGAACAGUCUAAAUGAAUGAGAUGUAACCAGAUAUCUGAGACAGCACACCUUCUUAUCUAAUAUAAUAUUUGGCCAGAGAAAGGAUAUUAUUUUAUAAGAGUAACCUUAUAAGAUAGAGGCCACCUGAUCAUCAUGAUCCAAACCUUUAUUUUCUAUCAAAGCAGGUCCCUUUGGGAAAGAUAUACUUAGAAAAUCAUGCUUUGUAUUCCUAUGCAGACUUUUUAGUGACAAAGUUAAUUUUACCUCUGAGACUUAAAUUGUGAAUAUGUUUUUAGAUAUAGUCAUUUUCUAAAUGUGCUGGAUUUAGCAUGGCUGAGGUAAUAUGAUUAUCUCAAAGAAAUAGACUUUUGUCUUGCAAAGCAUUCUUUUCAGGUUGAUGACUUUCAAAUAUCUUUAAUUACUUCAAGGACUCUAUACACACUCCUUUUUUUUUUUUUUUCACAUUUUUCUCCCAUAUAGGUUAUUACAGAAUAUUGAGUAGAGUUCCCUGUGCUAUAUAGAAGAUCCCUGUUGACCAUCCCUUCCAUAUACAAUUAUACAUACUCCCUUUUGGAUAACCUUUUAUUUCCCUACCCAGAUGCUUAUUUGUACUUAUAACCAUUUGACAGACUUUUCUUCAUUUCUUAAAAAUAAGGACCUCUCUUCUUACCCUGCGUUUCUUCAUCUGUUCUCUUAAAUCCACUUCCUUCCUCAUCCAUACAGACGUCCCAUUUCCUAACAUUUCUUUCUCCUACAUGAUUAAUUUAUCUUUGAUACUGGCUCAUUUUCCUUACUUUUUAAGAGAGCCGAGUGUAUUCCAUUCUCAAACUACCUAACUUGACACUGUGUUUCCCUGACAUUGCGUUUUCCCACUGUUUCUUCUGACACAUCUCCUGUAAAUUUCUUACUCUAUCUUUAUUCCUCUUUUUCUAUAUUAUUAACUGUAUUCUUUUCUCUCAUUUACCUUUUACUCCUCAAUUCACUGUGAUUCACUUUUAGCCUCCCACACUUUGUAAACUGCUCUUGAAGCUUAUGAACUAAUAUCUCAUUGCCAAUUCCAAGGAACAUUUUCCAAUUUGCAGCUUCCAUGUUUCUCUUAUGCAUGUUGACUUGUUCUAUGUGCUUGGUGUUGGUAACACCAUCUUCUCCUAGUUACCUUGCUCUGUCUGUGACCAUUUAUGUUCCUCCUAACCCUUCAAGUGUGGUGAACAGCCGACUUCUGACUUUUGCCCAAUAUUCUUCUUAUUUUACACAUCAUUCUUUAGUGGUAUCAUCUAGCUCCAGUCCUUUGCUCCAUCACUCCCAGUGCAUAUCUUUGGGACACACUUUUCUUUAAGUUUCUGUAGAUAAGCUUGCUGGACAUUUGAGACAUUGAGCUGUCCCAAACACUCCUUAAACUCAAUAUGCCCCAAAUUAAAUGUAUCAGUUCCCCCAGUUAUAAUUUAGACUCAUUCUAUCAUCAGUAUUUUUUUUUUUAGAAAUUCAGAAGUACCAAAAUUUAUAAAGAAUAAGUUAGCAAUUGCUGCUAUAUAUGAGUGAUAGAAAGAUACUUUUUAGGUCCAGGUUCAGGGACAGAUCAAUGUUAUCCCUGUUCCCAGCUUUAUAUAAGAAGACUAGAUCUGGUUUCCUACUAUAUUCAGAGAAGCCCCUUAACUCCUGACUUUAGAUAGGUGUAAAACCUCAGCCUUUAAUUAAAGAAUAUCUUAUCUUGUACCUCCUUUGUCCUAGCCUUCUUGUAUCACUUCCCUCAAGUGUCACCCCAAACUUCAUGAAUAACAAUCUAGCUCCUGGAGUUUUUAUGAAAUUCAACAUAGUUACUCAGAAUUCUAUUGUAUCUGAAGUGUAUGGGUAUGAAGAACUGAUGGAGAAGGGAGGGGAGGUAUUCUUGUAUCUGCUUUGCUUGAAUUGCCAAUUUACAUGGAAAUGCCAGUAGGCACUUAUUGAACCACUGAGUUCCAGACAAACUCUCCCUGCCCCUACUAUGUGGUCAUCAUCAUCCUACAUUCUUAUGGUAACAGAAUUAAUUUUUAUUUAGUAAUCAGAUUAGUAACUGGCAUGAAGUAGCCCAGAGGCAUGAAGAACAAAAAUUGACUAACAACAACCAUGACUUUGAAAUAUUGACUAAUUCAUUAAUUUCACCUGUUAAAAUCACCUUUAUUUAAGGAUUCAAUAAAAUGAACCCAUUUUAGUAUGGAGUUCAAUAAGUUUUGAACUCAUUGGCUCACCAUCCUAAUCAAAAUAAGGAAUAUUUUACCAUACCCAAAAUUUCCCUCAUGCUCUGCUGAUCUCAUCUUAACUUGACGAUAUUUGCAAAGACCUUAUUUCUAAUUAAGGUCAUGUUCUGAUGCACUGAGGUUAAGACUUAAACAUAUCUUUCACCAUCACUCUCCUUUUCCUGAGAGUAUUCCUUAUGAAAAAUAAUCCCUGUUCAGUGACAGAACUGUUCAAGCAGAUUCAGGAAUCACAAGUAAAUUUUAUGAACAGGAAGUUCAAGUUCCCCUGUCACCUCUCUCAAAAAACAUUUAUGGUUUCUGGGCCGUUUCCUUCAACAAUUAACAGAACUCAAUAUAUAACUUCUAAGCAAGAGUGAAUCAUCGCUACACUAAACCUUCUUAGAGGUGGUCAUGAGGAAAAGUUAAGAGAAAUCUUCCCAGUUGGCAGAGUUGCAAGCCAUGCAUUUGUAUAUUUGUGCUGUGUGAAUAAAGAAUUGAGCUAAAGGGUGGAUAUCCAUGGACUUACGGGCCAUGGUGAAUAGUCUGGUUAUCCAGAGAUGUUGAAAAAUCAAGAUUUAGCAACCAGAAACAAAGACUUUUGAGGGAGAGACACACUGGAUAGACUUAUGGGAGUGGGCGCACAGACUGAGAAUCAUCACGUCUCAUGUCCCACCAGCAUCUACCUCACAGGAGUCACUAAAUAUCAGCUGCAUAAGAUGACUCAACCCAUGGACACUAGCCAGUCUUUCUCCUUGGUUAUCCUAGUACUUACACAGUGGGCCUAUGAACAGAGUAGCGAUAAUGGCAGGAAUAGAGGCUGCCUGUUGGUAGGGCUGAUAAUUUCUGACUACCUUCUUGCUAGCAGAGAUCAGCACUAAGCCCUUGAUUUGAUAUCAUUCCUCAGAAAGACCAGGUAUCAGAGUUCCUGUCAUGGUCCAGUGGAAACGAAUCCGACUAGGAACCAUGAGGUUGCGAGUUCGAUCCCUGGCCUCGUUCAGUGGGUUAAGGAUCUGGCGUUGCUGUGAGCUGUGGUGUAGGUCACAGAUGCAGUUCAGAUCUGUUGUUGCUGUGGCUCUGGCGUAGGCCAGCAGCUGUAGCUCCAAUUAGACACCUAGCCUGGGAACCUCCAU